rnacentral:rRNA from 1 species
AGCGAACGCUGGCGGCAGGCUUAACACAUGCAAGUCGAGCGGGCGUAGCAAUACGUCAGCGGCAGACGGGUGAGUAACGCGUGGGAACGUACCUUUUGGUUCGGAACAACACAGGGAAACUUGUGCUAAUACCGGAUAAGCCCUUACGGGGAAUGAUUUAUCGCCGAAAGAUCGGCCCGCGUCUGAUUAGCUAGUUGGUAGGGUAAUGGCCUACCAAGGCGACGAUCAGUAGCUGGUCUGAGAGGAUGAUCAGCCACAUUGGGACUGAGACACGGCCCAAACUCCUACGGGAGGCAGCAGUGGGGAAUAUUGGACAAUGGGGGCAACCCUGAUCCAGCCAUGCCGCGUGAGUGAUGAAGGCCCUAGGGUUGUAAAGCUCUUUUGUGCGGGAAGAUAUGACGGUACCGCAAGAAUAAGCCCCGGCUAACUUCGUGCCAGCCGCCGCCGUAA